CGGCGAGUGAAGCGGCAACAGCUCAAAUUUGAAAUCUGGCUCUCUUUGGGGGUCCGAGUUGUAAUUUGCAGAGGAUGCUUUGGCAUUGGCAGCGGUCUAAGUUCCUUGGAACAGGACAUCACAGAGGGUGAGAAUCCCGUACGUGGUCGCUUGCCUUUGCCGUGUAAAGCUCCUUCGACGAGUCGAGUUGUUUGGGAAUGCAGCUCUAAAUGGGAGGUAAAUUUCUUCUAAAGCUAAAUACUGGCCAGAGACCGAUAGCGCACAAGUAGAGUGAUCGAAAGAUGAAAAGUACUUUGGAAAGAGAGUCAAAAAGCACGUGAAAUUGUUGAAAGGGAAGCGCUUGCAGCCAGACUUGCCCGCAGUUGCUCACCUAGGCUUUCGCCUGGGGCACUCUUCUGCGGGCAGGCCAGCAUCAGUUUGGGCGGUUGGAUAAAGGCCUCUGUCACGUAUCUUCCUUCGGGAUGACCUUAUAGGGGAGGCGUAAUGCAACCAGCCCGGACUGAGGUCCGCGCAUCUGCUAGGAUGCUGGCGUAAUGGCUGUAAGCGGCCCGUCUUGAAACACGGACCAAGGAGUCUAACAUCUAUG
rnacentral:rRNA from 1 species